CAGAGACCUACGCGGCGUCCAGAGAGGCAUCUGUGCGGAGGGCCAGCGCCGCGGGUGACUCUGCCUGGCUUCUGUCCUGGGUGGCAAAAGCUACCUCGUCCAAACUUUUUUGCGCAUCCCCUGAAGCCUACAGCGUGGGCGCCGCGUCCCCACCCGUUGCGCCCGUCCUCUCCCUCCCGCGGCCAGGAGCCCUUCGCUUCCCCCCUGCGGCUCCUAGAUGGUGGACCAUAACAGACGGAGUGGCCUUCCAGGCACAGGGACGACCUCGGCCAACAGGUAGGCAUUUCCUAGGCCCUGGUUCGCCUUUGGGCUGCACAGAGCCUGGAAGCCGGGCACCCGGGGGCCGGAGUAAGAAACAGCACCGGAGGCCCGGCCUCCAGAUCUGCUGAGCGACCUGGUCUUUGUGCCCUUGGACCUUCCUGCCUGGUUCCCGUCUGUAGAACGGGGCUCGUGACAGUGCACGUCCAGAAUUAGGGCAGAUCACAAGGAACGCCGCGAAUAACAGCCUUAAAUAUUAUAGGGUAAAAAUAGGGCCUCCUCGCGUCAGAAGUGAAUUCUGGGACAUUACUCCUGCUGAACUCAAGUGUCAGUACGCAUUCAUUAACCACCGACCGUGCGCUAGGGCUCUUGUAGGUCCUGCAGGGAACAAAAUGUACAAAACCCCCUGACCACGCCCCUGACCACGCCCCCAGCGCCAGGCCUGCGCGCCCCGCCUCCAGCCCCCUCCCUGCCCCACCCCGUGUGAUCUACAUAUUCAUGAGCCGUCAGCCAAUCCACAGCCUGAACCCUUCAGAGCCCCGGUGACGGUGAUGCCAGGAGUGACGCCUAAAGCGAUUCUUAAAGGCGCAGUAACUUCUCAAACAGGAGGCUGGACAGGAGUCUCCGGAUUCUCGGUGGCCUCAGCUUGCACAGCUCCAAGAGGCGGGUUGGGGUACAGGCACGGAAACCAGCGCAGAGCAAUGACGCUUGAACAGUUUUGCCAUCCUGGGUGCGAUCCAGGGAUGCGAGUCGAGCCGCGCUGCCCCGGCAGGCACUUUGCCCCAGCCUGGACUUCAGCACCGGGGGUCCCGGACAGCUCCGAGCCCUGGACAGAGGGACCCGUGCCGUGCGGGCGGGUGGGUGGGAGUGGAGGGAGCUUUCCAGUCUUGCUUCCCUUAGAAGCCAGUCCACGGGGGUGCAGGCCUGGUCUUUCUAGGUCCGAUGUUCCCCCUUCAUCACCGUAUCACAGGAGUUCAGUCGCCAAUCCAUGAACCCACCCGACUUCUCGGAGUAGGCGCUUCUCAGGACAUCAGUGCUAGGCCGACCCCUGGACCCUCCUCCUCCUCGGUCAGCUCCAGCUGAGCUCUUCACCCUCAUUACGCCCGGUCCUGCCCAGCUCACCUGGACAGCCGGCUCCACUGUCCUGCUCUCCACCCGCAGCGGAACCUAUCACAGGCCUCAGGUAAGCAUGACUGCGCGUCCAUCCCCCAACGACCUAAGUUCCCCAAGGGCAGGAGGGGGGUCUGUUUUGGGUCCUGUUAUGUCCCUAGUGCUCAGUGCACAGACUGGCAUACAGUAGGUGCCCAGUAAAAGUCUGACAAACGAAUAAAUGAGGGGGUGAAUGAAGGUCACCGCGCACAGCAUUGGCUGCUGAUAACGCCAAGGUCACGGGUUUGUUCCCCGUAUGGGCCACCAAAUGCCGCAGUCUGGCUGGGCACAAUCAGGAGCCACUUGUCAAAAGAAACUAACUUUAUUUUUAGAACCACACACGCCAAACAAAACAGCCUCUCAGGAAAAACCCUCAGAGCCUCAACUGCCACCACCGGCNGACUAUCAGAAAAUAAAUUAAAUACAGAAUCUUUAAACAUCACAAAAGCUUGUAAAACUGCAUUAAGCUCUACCUUUUGAGCUGAUUGUUUGGGUACUAAAAAUGUAAAAGUUUGAUCAGGGGUAACUACUGCUGCUGUACCAUUAUUUGACCCAUCAGUGAAUAUAUUUGGAGCAUUCAUGAUAGGUGUUUUUCUUGUCAUUUUUGGAAAAAUUGGGGGACGUCUGAUGACCCACUGGCUCUCACAACAAAAUCUCCAAAGGGCACAUCAUGGAGUCCCCUGUGCAGAUGGGGAGACAAGACCCAAACAUGGGAGCAACUUGCCCCGCUGGACAGACCCAGCAGCCGUCACAGAGCUGAGUCCCUACCAGAGGAGUCCCCAGGGGGAGGAGGCUCCUGCGCAGGGCUGUAGAGGGUGGGGGUGGGGGUCAAGGGUCAGAGGAGGCCUUCCACGCAGCAGGCAGGGCCGGAGCCAGGGUGAGGCCUGUGGCCAAGCCCUUGCCCAGGACGGUACCAUGCUGCGACGUGGAAGGGUCCCAACAGCUCGACGCCCUCACCAGCGCUCGGCAUUGCCGGGUCUUAAGUUUUACUUUAGCCAUUCAGAUACACGCGUGUGAUGUCGCGCUGUGGAUCCUCCUCCCUGCUGGGGACACACUGCCCCUCUCCUGGGAGUUCCCUCUGCUCCCUUGGCUCACCUGGUCACCUUACCUGGCUCGCUCCUCCCUCGUGAGUCUCGAGUUAGCUGUGGUCUCACUCUGUCGACGGCCUCUUUCACAGGGCGGAAUUCCUGAUCUUGACAGAGCCUGGUACAUCACGUUCUUCUUUCACGGGCUGAGACUUUUCCCCUGUAACGUUCCGUGGUUUGUCUGUCUUUAGGUCUGCGAUCCAUUUCCAGGUGGCCGUCGGUGUGAGGCGAGGCUGUGCGUGGCUGGCCAGGCCUGCGAGUUGAAGCCCUCCGCCCUCCUUGAUUCACUGGCCACUGCAGGGGCAUAUGCUGGCCGUGCCUGUUCCCGACUCGGUUCUGUCCAUCCUUUGGUCCCUGCCACGUUGUCUAGAUUAAGAGCUGACGGAAGGCAGACAGGAAGCCUCCUGGGCAGGCCACAGCCGCUGGGCCGCUCUCCCACUGGGCCCUGAAAGCUGCCGGCUGUGGAGGGCAAGUGAGCGGCCACACUGCGUCCCAGUGACACUGUGCUCACAGAGACAGGCAGGGACCACGUUUGCAGGCCCCCGCUGACCCUGCCCCGGCAUGCACAGGGGCCAGGCUCUUGGUCUGCGUUACUGGGGGUCAGUAUGGAAUAAGGGAGGGUGACUCUUCCCAUUUUGUUCUUUUUUCUGGUUCUGGGGUGGAACCCAAGCCCAACACGUGCUGAGCGAGCGCUCUCCGCGGAGCUGAGCCUUUAAUCAGAGUUGCAUUGAAUUCAUGGGUCAGUUUGGGGAGAAGUUGACAGCUCAGCAUGUUGAUUCCCUCAACCUUGAACCCUGCAUCAGUCAGCUUUCUGUUACUGUAACAAGUACCUGAAAAAAAGCAGCUCAUAAAGAGAAAAGGUUUAUUUUCA
rnacentral:lncRNA from 1 species